AACGAACGCUGGCGGCAGGCUUAACACAUGCAAGUCGAACGCCCCGCAAGGGGAGUGGCAGACGGGUGAGUAACACGUGGGAACAUGCCCAAAGGUACGGAAUAUUCUCGGGAAACUGGGAGCAAUACCGUAUGUGCCCGAAAGGGGAAAGAUUUAUCGCCUUUGGAUUGGCCCGCGUUGGAUUAGCUAGUUGGUGGGGUAAAAGCCUACCAAGGCGACGAUCCGUAGCUGGUCUGAGAGGACGACCAGCCACACUGGGACUGAGACACGGCCCAGACUCCUACGGGAGGCAGCAGUGGGGAAUCUUGGACAAUGGGCGCAAGCCUGAUCCAGCCAUGCCGCGUGAGUGAUGAAGGCCCUAGGGUUGUAAACUCUUCGUGGGGACGAUAAUGACGGUACCCCAAGAAGAAGCUCCGGCUAACUUUCGUG
rnacentral:rRNA from 1 species